UACGUAGGGGGCAAGCGUUGUCCGGAUUUAUUGGGCGUAAAGAGCGUGUAGGCGGCCUGGUAGGUCAGCUGUGAAAACUCGAGGCUCAACCUCGAGACGCCGGUUGAAACCAUCAGGCUAGAGUCCGGAAGAGGAGAGUGGAAUUCCUGGUGUAGCGGUGAAAUGCGCAGAUAUCAGGAAGAACACCCGUGGCUAAGGCGGCUCUCUAGUACGGUACUGACGCUGAGACGCGAAAGCGUGGGGAGCGAACAGG
rnacentral:rRNA from 1 species